AAUAAGAAACACGCCAAUAGCGAGGAACAGAACUGCCAGUGACCUUAACAGCUGGAGACACGUUGGGUGUACAGUGCCUGAGAAAUGCCCAGCACAUUUUCUCUGACAGAGCCUCCUCUGGAAGAAUCCUGGUUUUAUAACAUCAACACUCUGAAGGUCUCUAGAAAAGCACAGGAGACAGGACUGGUACCAGCAGCCGUUUUUGUACCGUCUGGCACCAUGGUGAUAGAAGUGGGAAAGGAAAGCCUUUCAACCAACUUUCUUAGACCAGCUUUCUUGUUUUUCUUCCCUACUUGGAUUAGAAAAAAAAGAGAUGGACCAAACAGAGAGGCUCAGGAUGACAGUGAAAGAUUAACAAAAGAAGCCAAGAUCAAAUGAUUUGGAAAAGAUUUCAAACAUCUUAAAAAAAAAACAACAAAAUCUGCAGUGUCACUGGCAUCACUAGGCAAAUAAAUUAACCUUGAUGGUAA